AGACUUGUAUGAACGGCUAAAUGAGGACAAACCUGUCUCAUGUGACCAAUCAGUGAAACUGAUCUCCCAGUCCAAAAGCUGGAAUAACAACAUAAGACGAGAAGACCCUGUGGAGCUUCAAACCAACCACUAAUAAGCAGGACAACUGCACCUAGUGCACGGUUUUAAGUUGGGGCGACUUUGGAACAAAACAAAACUUCCAAGCACAGAACCACACAUUCCACUACGGCCAACAAGCCAAAGUAUAAAAAGACAGACCCAGUAAUACUGAUCAACGAACCAAGUUACCCCAGGGAUAACAGCGCUAUCUUCUUCAAGAGUCCCUAUCGACAAGAAGGUUUACGACCUCGAUGUUGGAUCAGGACACCCAAAUGGUGCAGCCGCUAUUAAAGGUUCGUUUGUUCAACGAUUAACAGUCCUACGUGAUCU
rnacentral:rRNA from 1 species